CUGAACUCAGGGCCGAGAGGAGGAUGCAGUCAUGGAUGAUGUCAUAUUGUUGAUGUGAUAUUGACCAUGAGGUAAUAUUAGCGGUGGGACAUGGGAGCUGCCUGCAGCCAUUUUGCCACUGGACAGAGACCCCACCUGAGAACGGUACCAAUGCAAGCAGAAUGGGACCAAGAGAGGCAGAGAGAACAUCCCUUCCUUUAUUCCUUCUGCAUCUAUUGGUUAAGCCCCACUCUGUGCGGUGCCUGUUCCUGGCCUGGGGAACAGCAGUGACCAAGAUGAAGUCCCCAUCCUCAGGAGUCAUCGACAUUCUAGCAUAUAUGUAAACAGGAGCCAGCAGUCACCCCCUAGACCAAACCUGAGCUGGACUCUCUGCCACUGGCUCCUGCAGGCCCGAGGCAAUCAAUGUUGUUGGGUGAGCAAAUAGGAGAGUCUCCCAUUGUGUGGACAGGCCACAGCUCCUCGAGCCGGCCCCCUCAUGGGGAACACUUGAGUUGCUCCCCAUCUUUUGCUGUUGUAGUCGGUCAAUACCUCAUCCACGUGCCGGCUCAUACGCACAAAGUGGAGCAUCCGUGCACUACAUCAAGGGAGAAAUCAAGAUACAGAACCGUCUAUAGGCAUAUGUUAUGUUUUGCACAAGAAGGAGGGAAAAUCAGAAUAUGUCUUCAUCCUUGGUAUACUUCCAUAAAGAUACUCUGGAAGGACAGACAAAAACCUAACAACCUUACCAGCCUCUUGUGGUUGGUGGGGGCUGGGGACCUGGAUGACAGUGCAGAGUGGGAGAGAGACCUCCUCUUUCACCUUCUAGCCUUGUUUUGCUUUUAGAACCACGUGAUUGUAUUACUCGGUUUAAAACAACAACAGCGGAAAGUGUAAACAAGUGCAGCCGUGGUACGUAGAUGUGACCUAAAUCCUGAAGGUGGCAGUUGGUGGCUGAAUUUGGAACUGCUCCCUACUAUGGCCUUGGGGUGUCUCUUAGGCCCAGAUUCCUCCUUCACCACAGGAGCCAACAGGGCGCUGGGGAGAGAAUGGAGGUGACACCUGCGAAUUCGGACGCCCGCCCCGCGGUGUGCAUGUGAGUGCCAGCAGCUCGCAUGCCUGCCCACACCACCCCGUUUCUCCCCUUGUCCUGGGGCGUUGGUUAGGGGACCUCUUGCUGAAACCAGACACUUUAAAUGCUCCCUCCCUCCUAGGAGAGAAGAGUCCAGAGGGGCGUGCCCGAGCUCUGGAACAGUCAAGGGACAGGCCACAUUGGCCCCAUGACAUCUUAUAGAUGUCACCUGUUCCUGCCAGUGCAGCCACGAUCAGCCCCCCACACGGGAAGGCAGCAGAGCAGCCCGAGCCUGUGUUCCUGGCACUCUGUGGAGGCUGAGCUGGGCACACAUCUUCAGGUCACCCCUCUGCAGCCCGACUGGGGGAGAGCGAGGAGCCGGUGGCUGGGGGAGGGCCGCGCGCCUAUUCUGUCUCCAACUGCCUUUGUUCGAGAAUAAACACGCUGAGGCUGUCUCCCCACCUGAAAGCCGCAUCUGCUGGAGAG
rnacentral:lncRNA from 1 species